rnacentral:lncRNA from 1 species
AUUAGUUCAUAAAGAGAAUAUAUAUAUAUAUAUAUAUAUAUAUAUAUAUAUAUAUAUAUAUAUAUAUAUUAACGUAAUAUAUAUAUAUAUAUAUAUAUAUAAUAUUUUCUAAAUGUAAGCCUCAAUUAAUUUUUAAUAUAUGAUUCAUAUAUAAUUGAGGGGUUAAGAUUCAUACUUGCAACAAAUUUACAAAUACUACAAGUUAGAAAACUAAAUGUCCUACCAAUUACUCGAACGAGGUUUCACUUAAUUCUUUAACCAUUAGAAACCUACUCUGUCAUGUCCAGUCGCGGAACUAGGGGGAGCGGGCAGCCGGCGCCCGGCGGUCCGGCAGUGACCGGCGAGCAGAGCAGUUCAAACUUCAAAGCAGAGCAGUUUAACCCUUACACAGUCGCCUCCACUGCUCCACAUACCAGACCCCAGUUUUCUCUUCAGUCUUCGCCCCUCGCCUCCACAGUCCACAGAUGACAGAUCCAUUGCGCCCGUCGCCGCACGCCGCCGCACGCCCGGACGCCGAUGUCUACUGAUCACGCCUCCUGCCUGGUUGCCUCCACUUAACCACAGACAACUAAUACUCUGCUUUGGACUUUGGUAAAUAAAAGAAUAAAAAUUGAUUUUAUGUUAAUUUAGGUAUAAAUCAGUUAGCUUUUGACUGAAUUAGUGACAUGGAGUAUAGUUGUUAGUGUGCGGAGUAAUAAAGAUGGCGAAUUCGGGUUGGAACACAAAGAAAUGGCUAAGAAAUCUGAUUAUUAAAGUGGCGCACAUAACAUGUUCGCUAAAAGUCCUCUUAGGACUGUUUUUGCUAAAAACUAGGAAUUAAGCAAAGCCAAGACCCAAACUGUAUACAUAUAUGCUUUAUAUAGCUAAUUAAAGAGCUUGGGCAAAUCGAAUCAUGAAAAGGCAUUUUAAAAUCAAAAUAAAAAAUUAGUGUGUCCGGUUAAAAUUUUUUGCCCCCCCUAAAAAACUGCUCUGGUUCCGCCACUGGUCAUGUCAUCUAUCAUGUUUAUGACUCACCCCUAACGCCAUACAUAUAUACUUAAAUUAAAUUCUCCAUUUUCUAAUCAUUAAUUUGACGUUGUUUCUAAUAAAUUAUUUUCUCCUUUUUCUAAUUACUCAAGGAUAUCUCAAGGUAGGAGUGCGUAAAUAACCACGAGACGUUGUUCAUGUUUUCUCGCUGUUGGGUCAUGAUAUUUCUCUUAUUUGGGUCAAGUAAAUUGGGCUCAUUUAUUUAAUUAGUCUAUGGGGCUUUCAUUACUGAACCUUGAAAGUUAUUGGGCCUAGUCUUCAUAUUAUUACCAUUAAACCUUAGG